UGUGUUUAUGCGCGUUGCUGCGAUUUACUUCGUGGUGACUGCGGUUUGGGGGUUGAGCGUCAGCCCUUCCCCUGCUUUUGCUUUUUUCAAGGCUACGUUUUCAUAUACCCUAUACAAUGUUACAGAAUGUCUUUAAAGAUUGUGCUUGGUCGCAGUCAUUAAACCUAUACAACUUUCAGCAACGGAUCUCUUGGCUCUCCCAUCGAUGAAGAACGCAGCGAAAUGCGAUAAGUAAUGUGAAUUGCAGAAUUCAGUGAAUCAUCGAAUCUUUGAACGCACCUUGCGCCCUUUGGUAUUCCGAAGGGCAUGCCUGUUUGAGUGUCAUUAAAUUAUCAACCUUGUUCGCUUUUACGAGCUUGAGCGAGGCUUGGAUGUGAGGGCUUGCUGGCUUCCUUCAGUGGAUGGUCUGCUCCCUUUAAAUGCAUUAGUGGGAUCUCUUGUGGACCGUCACUUGGUGUGAUAAUUAUCUAUGCCAUUUGANCUGUGAAGCAAAAUUAUGGGAACCUGCUUAUAACCGUCUCGCAAGGGACAAUUUAAUUGACUAUUGACCUCAAAUCAGGAGG
rnacentral:rRNA from 1 species